AUCAGCCUUUCGGGUGCGACUCUGUGGAGUGUGAGGAGCUUAACACCUUCAUGCUUUGCAUAUUUGUGCUCUUGGGUGUACUUGCCCGUGUGGUUGGUUAACAUCAAUUUUGGUGGUCAUAAAAUGACUGGAGGAAUGUAGCUUCGAUCUCGUAUUGAAGUGUUAUAGCCUUCGGUAGAUGUGAUGAUCGAGAUUGAGGAUUGCAACGGAUACCCUUCGGGGCUACCUGUCUGGUCUCUGAUCGUUGCUCUGGUGCCGAAAGCUUGCUUACGGUUAUCAAAGUCGAUGGUCAAUAGGUUAGAACGGGUUAAAUUCGUUAAGGAUGUUGACGUAAUGGCUUU
rnacentral:rRNA from 1 species